GCAAACUUGGUCAUUUAGAGGAAGUAAAAGUCGUAACAAGGUCUCCGUUGGUGAACCAGCGGAGGGAUCAUUACCGAGUCUUCGCACUCAAAUAACCCUUCUGUGGACCUAAAUAAAACCGUUGCCUCGGCGGGCGGCCCCACCUGUGGGCCGGACAGCCCGGUCGCCUCCAGGCGCCGGCGCCAGCCGCUGGCCCAAAAUAAAAACUCUAGUAACCUUUACCUUCUGAGUUUUAACGCAAAUAAAGUCAAAACUUUCAACAACGGAUCUCUUGGCUCUGGCAUCGAUGAAGAACGCAGC
rnacentral:misc_RNA from 1 species